GGCAAGGUGGCUCAGUGGUAGAGCGCUUGCCUUGCAUGCAUGAGACCCUGGGUUCGAUUCCUCAGUACCA
rnacentral:tRNA from 1 species